AUGAAGGAGAUUUUCUCUUUUGUUAGUGAGCUGGGGAAUAGGUUGUGCUAGGAUUUGGUCGCCAGUACAGAAUCACCCUGGAGCUCAGGGCCCUUUUUCGGUGAUAUUUGUGACUUUAAGGCGUUUUUGCUACCUUUGCAUACAGCAAUUAAGUGGGGUCCUAGUGCCGAUCCAAUUCUAAAGAUAGGUUAUGUGGAAGCCUCUGAGUAUCUUUAUGCUACAUUUCUUAAAUUGUUGAGAAAGAUGAAUGAAUGCCUUCUUAAGAUGCAAGAUUGUUUGCCUUUGAAUAGAACAUGGGGAGAUGCUACAGUUUGGCAUGGAUGGUUUCACUAUCUUGCCAUUUUGGAGGAAUUGCAUAAAAUCAGCGAACAUUAUAAGGUUGCUGAAGAAGAAUUAUGGAUGUCUUUACGGCUUAGAAAGUUUUCACUAUGUGUGCUGCUUG
rnacentral:misc_RNA from 1 species